UGUAUAUAUCAUUAUUUUAUAGGUGAACAAAGUUUAUUUAUUUAGCAACGUUUUAUUGAAAGCAUCAAAUAAGACUUAUAAUCAUUAUGAUAAUCUUUUUGAAUUAAACCUAUACGAAGCUUCAACGAUAACUGAAUGCACAGAUAAUGCAGUUGACAUACCAUUAAAUAAAUAUAAUUUUAUAAAUUUAAUAAAUCUAUCUGAUUGUAAAAGAAAUGAUAUAAUUGAUGUUAUUGGAAUAAUCACUAAUAUUGGGUCAUUGGAAGAAAUUGUUAAUAACAAAGGAGUUAAAUUUAUCAAACGAGAAGUUGAUUUGUCUGACGAAAUAGAAAAUAAAGUAACUCUUAUAUUUUGGAGGUCAGCCGCGAUUGAUUUUAGUAAAGAAUUAAAUUCUAUAUUGAUUAUUAAAGGGGGAAAAAUCAAUGAAUUUAAUAAUACAAUUAAAUUAUCUAUUGUAAAUACAACAAUUGUGACAGAUGAUAUUUCUGAAGUUUCAGAAGGAAAAAGAUUGCAAGAGUAUCUC